rnacentral:tRNA from 1 species
AGGGCUAUAGCUCAGUUAGGUAGAGCACCUCGUUUACACGUGCGCCAAUGUUUUUUUUCAAAGGAG